AAAAUCACUCAAAACCCAAAUCAGGAGUUCCUAUUCCAAAAAACUCUCAAAGAGAAACCCUCCUCACCUACUAUUCCACUUCUUCUCACGACAUUCUCGAUCGAUUCGGCUAGUUUUUUUCCUCCUGCACCGUGUUUUUUCUUUUCAAGUUUAUGAGCAGAUUCCUUUGAAUUAGUUACUCCAUCUGGUGGCUGAUCAAUGUCAUCGGAGUAUUUCAAAUUGGAAUCUGCUCAAAAAGGCCGUGUACACAACGUCAUCUAGGAACUGGUCAGGACAUUCCAUGGACUUUUGGUUUGGUCAUCCAGGAUUUUGCUACUAUAAAUAAUCGGAACAUGGGAUUUUGAAAGGUUAGUACUUAGUAGUUGCUUUUUCAUUUUGUAGAACUCUGAUACUAUUUAUUAUUAUGAUUAUUUUUUUUGAAAGUUUUGAAAAUGAAUUUCUUUGGGAUACAUGAACUUCGAUGAGGCAAUCUUGCAAACGUAAAAGAGUUACAUGAUUAUUUGGCCAGCAAUAUUUCUCAUGAUUUUCGAACAUUUAUAGUAGUAGUAUAGUAUCUUCUGCGACUCCUUAUUUUUAAUUAUCAUGGUACAAUUAAGAGUUUUAGGAGCAUCCAUAUUAACUGCUAAUUUUUUAGAGUGCUCUUGUGUAUGUGGUGUUUAUCCAUGCAGUUUAUUUUGCCCAAUAAGGGAAUCAUUCAGUAUUAUAACAGUGACUUUUGGGGUGAGAUAACUGUUUUCUCUAUGUUAAUAUUGAUUUGAACAUUGUAAACUUCUGUUUUAAACUUUAUGUGAGUGGUAGAAGGCUAAGUAAAGAACAGGAAUAUGUUUCAAAUUUUUUUUUAAUUUUUUUAUCUGUUAUUUAUAUUUCUAUCACUUUUUUAAGUUUUUGUCACUUUAUUUGAGUUUUCAUCACUUUUUUUAAUGAUUGUUACUUUUUUUAUUCUUUCAAGUCACUUUUUAUUUAUUAUUAUUAUUAUUAUUAUUAUUAUUAUUAUUAUUAUUAUUAUUAUUAUUAUUAUUAUUAUGUUUUAGUUUCUGUCACUUUUUUAAGUGACAAACAAUAAAUAAAGAGAUUCUCAACCUUAGAGAGUGAUGAUUAGUAUUUAGUAGGUAGAUUGUGUGUAACUUUUUCAUAAAUCAUUUUUUGAAUUUCUGCCACUUUUCUAUUUUCUGUCAUUUUUUUAAUGGUUUGUUAUUAUUAUUAUUAUUAUUAUUAUUAUUAUUAUUAUUAUUAUUAUUAUUAUUUUUGAAUUUUUAUCACUUCUUUGAAUUACAAAACAUCAAUUUUAAUAAAAGUAUGUCACUUUUUAGUAAAAAGUGAAACUAAACUUUACGAAGUAUUUUUUACUUCAAAACUACUUUUCAUAUGAUUUUUCAAAAGACAUCUAAUUUUUAGAGUUAUGUUUGUAAGUUGCCGAAUAAUAUUCAGAAGCCGAGAUUGAUAUAAAGCUUUAUAGGAAUCUGAUCCCCUUCCAAAUCCACUAGUGCAGCUGACAGGAGAUGCCUAUCAACUAUAAAUAAAACCUUAUGUUGUACUUAAACGUGUGCUCUUUCCAUUGUUUCAGGGUAGUUCCUAGUCAUUUUUGCUGGUUUUUUAGUAGGCUAGAAUAGAAUAUGGUUGAGACCAUCAUCUUCUCUGUAUUCACUAUAUGUUGUCAUCCUUUUUGCUAUGCCUGGAGUUGAGGGUUGGCAUUGUUGUGUUAAAGAGUGGAAAACUGGAUUUCAAAGAAACAGAAAGUAGAUUAUUUAGCCCCCGUUUCGAUGAAUUAAUAAAUGCUUUAAUUUAUAACUAUAUAGAAAUGAGAAGUUGAUAAGUGGGUAGUAGUUGUAGGUUCACUGAAUGUGUUUGAAAAUUAAAUUUGACAAUUUAUAAAUGAUUUAUAAAUAGCCAAACAGAGGCUUAGUAUUUCUUGACUUUGAUGAAUUUUGUCCUCGAGUGAAGCAUUUAUUGCAGAUUUAUUCAUAUGCUCAUGAGAUAAAGGCAUUUUCCCUUGGUCUGGUAAAGGUGGUUGUCAAUGGCGAAAAUAUCAUUAGUCUGGCAAUUGAUGUGAGUUCUGUUUAAGUUGGGAUGGCACGUCGCAUAAUUUAGUCCUUAUUAGAAAUAAGCCCAAGGACAAAAGUAACAUGCCUUCACAUGCUAGAUUUCAUACUAUGGUGUCAUUCUCUCAAAUUGAAUAUGACCUUGUGUUUAUUAUUAAACACGAUGGUCAUUGCCUUGCCUUUCAGAGCAUUUUUGACAGGACAUAUUGAUGAAUAAAAAGGACGAAAUAAUUUUAUCCAUCGUACUACAGAGUCAUGUCGAGUAGUGUAUUGAACUUGUUAAUGAACCAAGAGAGUAUUUUCCGGUGGUUUGGUAUCGGAAUCAUCUUUCUAGUUUCGUUAUAACUUGCACCUGCAACUAGUAGUACCAAGAAAUGGUAAGUUGAAUUUGUGUGAUUGAGCUUGAGUUUGGAUAAUUUUGAUGUUGGGGAAGGUGUGUGGUGGGAAUGGGGGAUUAUGAGGCAGUUGUGCAGUCCUCAGAACAUGGAAAAAUGUUAAUUGUCUGUCGAGGAAAUUGAGGGCAUAGGCAGUAGUGCUGCUUAUUUUCAUUAGACUUGAGAAUGAAUGUCUACUCAAAUUUAUUCCUGCUCAAUUUUGUUAUUAGGAUUUGGCAAGGUUCACAUGGGAGCUGGUUCUUACAUAGUCAUCUUGUCUUUUGAUUCUCACUAGAAAAAAGAAGAUGGUAAAAAACAUAAAAAGUGGCAAAAUGAAGAUGAGAAAAAAAAAAAAAAAAUUGCGCUUGGGUCAAUGUAAUCUCGUUGUGUAUAUAGCUAGUUCGAUGAAAGGAAUGCUCUCGCUUCAAUGCUGUAUAAUUUAUAUUCUUGAGUAGGUUACAAGUAUUGUCUGAUAGGUUGAUGGAUAGAAUAAAUGUGACAUUAGGCGGGGUUAGCUCGAACGACCUUUAAACAAAAGGGUACUUGUGUUAGGUGCUCAAUUUUUUUUCCCCAUUGAGGUUGAACCUAAACUUGUGCUCAUUACAAAUAGUAUGCCCUUGGCCCAUUUGCAUAUUUUUUUUGUUUUACGCCCCGUAACUCUUCCCCCUUUCAUUCUGAGGUGACGGAAGGAUCGUGCCUUUCCGGAUAUGCCUCAAUGUCCCGGCUAUUCAUGGAACGUGAAUCAUCUGCUUCCGGAAGAAAUCGAAGAAUUUCUCGAUUUGAAUGCUACAUGAAGAACAUAAGUCAGAUGACGGGACGAGAAGACCAGGACGUAGAAGAUGUAAUCUUCUUUUUCUCUUCAUUGCCCAAAAUUUUCUUGGUAAAUUGUUUCAAGCUCAUCUUCUAAAGAGUAUUUGGAGAAUAUAAUAAACACCACUUUUUCUUUCCUUCCCCCUUCGUGGCAUAAUAUUAUCGGGAAAAUUAGAGUUGCACUUGGCAUGAUUAUGUGGUGUUAAGCAUUUCAAUCUUCGAAAUUGAUAUUUAGAUGAUAACCCUAUUCAAGAG
rnacentral:lncRNA from 1 species